rnacentral:rRNA from 1 species
GGGGGAUAUUGCACAAUGGGGGAAACCCUGAUGCAGCGACGCCGCGUGGAGGAAGAAGGUUUUCGGAUUGUAAACUCCUGUCGUUAGGGACGAUAAUGACGGUACCUAACAAGAAAGCACCGGCUAACUACGUGCCAGCAGCCGCGGUAAAACGUAGGGUGCAAGCGUUGUCCGGAAUUACUGGGUGUAAAGGGAGCGCAGGCGGGAAGACAAGUUGGAAGUGAAAACCAUGGGCUCAACCCAUGAAUUGCUUUCAAAACUGUUUUUCUUGAGUAGUGCAGAGGUAGAUGGAAUUCCCGGUGUAGCGGUGGAAUGCGUAGAUAUCGGGAGGAACACCAGUGGCGAAGGCGGUCUACUGGGCACCAACUGACGCUGAGGCUCGAAAGCAUGGGUAGCAAACAGGAUUAGAUACCCUGGUAGUCCAUGCCGUAAACGAUGAUUACUAGGUGUUGGGGGAUUGACCCCCUCAGUGCCGCAGUUAACACAAUAAGUAAUCCACCUGGGGAGUACGACCGCAAGGUUGAAACUCAAAGGAAUUGACGGGGGCCCGCACAAGCAGUGGAGUAUGUGGUUUAAUUCGAAGCAACGCGAAGAACCUUACCAGGUCUUGACAUCCGAUGCAUAGCACAGAGAUGUGUGAAAUCCUUCGGGACAUAAAGACAGGUGGUGCAUGGUUGUCGUCAGCUCGUGUCGUGAGAUGUUGGGUUAAGUCCCGCAACGAGCGCAACCCUUAUUGCCAGUUACUACGCAAGAGGACUCUGGCGAGACUGCCGUUGACAAAACGGAGGAAGGUGGGGAUGACGUCAAAUCAUCAUGCCCUUUAUGACCUGGGCUACACACGUACUACAAUGGCGUUUAACAAAGAGAAGCAAGACCGCGAGGUGGAGCAAAACUCAAAAACAACGUCUCAGUUCAGAUUGCAGGCUGCAACUCGCCUGCAUGAAGUCGGAAUUGCUAGUAAUCGCGGAUCAGCAUGCCGCGGUGAAUACGUUCCCG